rnacentral:rRNA from 1 species
GCCUACGACCAUACCAUGCUGAAUAUACCGGUUCUCGUCCAAUCGCCAAAAUCAAGCAGCAUAGGGCCCAGUCAGUACUUGGAUGGGAGACCACUUUUGCCUUUGUACAUCAAAUUUC